rnacentral:rRNA from 1 species
AACGAACGCUGGCGGCAGGCCUAACACAUGCAAGUCGAACGAACCCUUCGGGGUUAGUGGCGGACGGGUGAGUAACACGUGGGAACGUGCCUUUAGGUUCGGAAUAACUCAGGGAAACUUGUGCUAAUACCGAAUGUGCCCUUCGGGGGAAAGAUUUAUCGCCUUUAGAGCGGCCCGCUUCUGAUUAGCUAGUUGGUGAGGUAAUGGCUCACCAAGGCUACGAUCAGUAGCUGGUCUGAGAGGAUGACCAGCCACAUUGGGACUGAGACACGGCCCAAACUCCUACGGGAGGCAGCAGUGGGGAAUCUUGCGCAAUGGGCGAAAGCCUGACGCAGCCAUGCCGCGUGGAUGAUGAAGGUCUUAGGAUUGUAAAAUCCUUUCACCGGUGAAGAUAAUGACUGUAGCCGGAGAAGAAGCCCCGGCUAACUUCGUGCCAGCCGCCGCAGUAAAAC